CCUACGGGUGGCAGCAGUGAGGAAUAUUGGACAAUGGGCGCGAGCCUGAACCAGCCAAGUAGCGUGAAGGAUGACGGCCCUACGGAUUGUAAGCUUCUUUUAUAAGGGAGUAAAGUGCGGCACGUGUGCCUUUUUGUCUGGCCUUUAUGGAUAAAGCACGGCUAACUCCGUGCCAGCAGCAGCGGUAAUACGGAGGAGCCGGGCGUUAUCCGGAUUUAUUGGGUUGAAGGGGAGCGUAGACGGGUGGUUAAGUCAGUAGUGAAAGUUUGUGGCUUAACCGUGAAACUGCAAUGGAUACUGGAAGGCUGGAGUGCAGUUGAGGUAGGCGGAAUUCGUGGUGUAGCGGUGAAAUGCGUAGAUAUCACGAAGAACACCGAUUGCGAAGGCAGCUUACUAAACUGUAACUGACAUUGAUGCUCGAAAGCGUGGGGAGCAAACAGGAUUAGAUACCCGAGUAGUC
rnacentral:rRNA from 1 species